AGAGUUUGAUCCUGGCUCAGGGUUAACGCUAGCGACGUGCCUAAGGUAUGCAAGUCGAACGGUGAACUUUUGGUAGUAAUACCGAAAGUUCAUAGUGGCAAACGGCUGAGUAACGCGUGGGAAUCUCCCCUUGAGUCUGAUAUAGCUCGCCGAAAGGCGGGGUAAUCUCAGAUAGUCUCGCAAGAGUAAAGAUUUUUCGCUCAAGGGUGAGCCCGCGUCCUAUCAGGUUGUUGGUGGGGUAAUGGCCUACCAAGCCUAUGACGGGUAGCUGGUCUGAGAGGGUGGCCAGCCAGACUGGGACUGCGAUACGGCCCAGACUCCUACGGGAGGCAGCAACUAGGAAUUAUGCGCAAUGGCCGAAAGGCUGACGCUGCGACGUCGCGUGGAGGAUGAAGGUCUUAGGAUCGUAAACUCCUUUUAUCUACGAACAAGUUCUGAGUGUAGUAGAUGAAUAAGUGCCUGCCAACCACGUGCCAGAAGCAUCGGUAAUACGUGGGACACAAGCGUUACCCGGAUUCACUGGGCGUAAAGAGAUGCGUAGGCGUCUAGAAAAGUUCGGUGUUAAAUCCCAAGGUUCACCCUUGGAACCGCAUAGAAAACUCUCUGGAUUGAGUCAUGUAGAGAAUAGGGGAAUUCCUGGUGGAGCGGUUAAAUGCGUUGAUAUCAGGAGGAACACCAAUGGCGAAAGCACCUAUUUGGACAUGUACUGACGCUAAGGCUCGAAAGUGUGGGGAGCAAAACGGAUUAGAUACCCGUGUAGUCCACACCGUAAACGAUCCCUGUUAGAUGUUCGAAAUUUGCUGAAAUUUCUCUUCGGAGAAGGAUAAGCACUUUUUGAGUGUCGCAGCUAACGCGUUAAACAGGGCGCCUGUGAAGUACGACCGCAAGGUUAAAACACAAAGGAAUUGACGGGGACCCGCACAAGCAGUGGAGUGCCUGGUUUAAUUCGAUGAUCAACGAAGAACCUCACCUGGGCUUGAACUGUGGCUGCUAAUCCUAUGAAAGUAGGACUCUUUCGAAGGUGCCACAGAGGUGAUGCAUGGCUGUCGUAAGCUCGUGUCGUGAGAUGUCGGGUUAAGUCCCACAACGAGCGCAACCCCUUUCAGAUGUUACAAUUACUUCUGAUACUGCCCCGCCAAAACGGGGAGGAAGGAGGGGAUGACGUCCAGUCAUCAUGUCCCUUAUGUCCAGGGCUACACAGACACUACAAUGGCGAUAACAAUGGGUUGCCAAGCCGCAAGGCGGAGCUAAUCCCAUCAAAGAUCGUCUCAGUUCAGAUUGCAGGCUGCAACUCGCCUGUAUGAAGUUGGAAUUGCUAGUAAUCGGAAAUCAGCGUGUUCCGGUGAAUACGUUCUUGGGUCUUGUACACACCGCCCGUCAGGGCAUGGGAGUUGCUCAUACUCGAAGUCUACGUUUAUCGUGGCCGAAAGUUAUGGGUGGCGACUGGGCUUAAGUCGUAACAAGGUAACCGUA
rnacentral:rRNA from 1 species